GCAGCGCGCGGCGUCAGUUUUGGCUGUGGGCGUCUGUACUCCAUAGUCCGUACUCGCCGCGGCGCGGUGUUCUGCAGCAUAGUCAUCCACCGCAAUCCUGGGCCUCACGUGUUGCCUGACCAUUCCUGAGCCCAGGUGGGAGCCUUGGCUGAGGUGAUGGUCUCAAAGUGGAAGAGCUUACUGUCACAGCAACUGUUUUGCAAGAUGCCCCGGCCAGGAACAGUUGCUGAACACCCCAGGCCUGCUGAGGUCCCUCCUUGAGUCUCAUGUUCAAGCAAUCUUGUGAGUAAAGCACUGGCUACCCCUUUUCCUUAUUAUCUUUUCAAGGAUGUUUGUGCAGCAGACAGCCUUGGAACAUACGAGGUAGUACCUUCUUCCAGAGCAGAGAGC
rnacentral:lncRNA from 1 species